GGAGGCGGCUUCGGAGCGGGCGCGGGGGCAGACCUCGUGGGCCGAGUCCCGUGACUAUCCACCGCGGUCUCUUGCAGCGUUGGUGGGAUGGUUCUUAAAGUGAGCCACUAGGAUGAUUGAUUUUGGCUUUUCCUGGAGGCGCUCUCUUCAAAGCCUGGAAUGAGUCCUUCCCAGCUCCUGAAUUGGCCAGCGCCUUGAUCUUAGGCCUUCCAUCCUCGGGAACAACGAGAAGGAACAUCUCAUCUGGCUGUCAGCCAUGUCAAGGUCUGGGAGGCUGCAGAUGUCCGAGUUUGCACACACUUUGACUGCUCCAAGGCCUUGGAUCUACCCACUGCCUCUGGUCCUCCAGGGUUACUCAGGAACAGUCUGAUGAUGGACUUGGGAAAGACGAUGAGAACUGCCUUCUUCUAAGCUCUACAGAUGUAAACAGUGCACCUGCAAGUGCCUCAUCCACAGGGCAUUUUCUUGUAGUGCCAUGAUCCUAGCAAAGCCCCACCACCACUUACAGACCUGUGUGAUUCAGACAUCGAAACAAAGGAUGGACGUUUGGAGCGCGCACUUUAGUAGGUCUUCAAAAGCCACAAGCUAUUAAAGAUUUUGAAAACUAGAACUGGAAAGGCCGUUGAAACAUCAUACAGGUUUUAAUUUCCUCAAAAAAUAAAUAUCAACCUCUAUCAUCCA